UACGGAGGAUGCAAGCGUUAUCCGGAUUCAUUGGGUUUAAAGGGUGCGUAGGCGGGCUAUUAAGUCAGUGGUGAAAUCCUGCAGCUUAACUGCAGAACUGCCGUUGAUACUGAUAGUCUUGAGUUUGGUUAAGGUAGGCGGAAUGUGUAAUGUAGCGGUGAAAUGCUUAGAUAUUACACAGAACACCAAUUGCGAAGGCAGCUUUCUGGCCCAUUACUGACGCUGAGGCACGAAAGCGUGGGGAUCGAACAGGAUUA
rnacentral:rRNA from 1 species